rnacentral:rRNA from 1 species
GGGGAAUAUUGCACAAUGGAGGAAACUCUGAUGCAGCGACGCCGCGUGAGUGAAGAAGGUCUUCGGAUCGUAAAACUCUGUCCUUGGUGACGAAAAAAAUGACGGUAGCCAAGGAGGAAGCCCCGGCUAACUACGUGCCAGCAGCCGCGGUAAUACGUAGGGGGCAAGCGUUAUCCGGAAUUACUGGGCGUAAAGGGUGCGUAGGCGGUUUAUCAAGUCAGGGGUGAAAGGCUACGGCUCAACCGUAGUGAGCCUCUGAAACUGGUGAACUUGAGUGUAGGAGAGGAAAGUGGAAUUCCCAGUGUAGCGGUGAAAUGCGUAGAUAUUGGGAGGAACACCAGUGGCGAAGGCGACUUUCUGGACUACAACUGACGCUGAGGCACGAAAGCGUGGGGAGCAAACA